CUAUCGCCGAGUGAUGAAAUUAAAGUGUUUCGAGUUGAAGGGGAGGGGGAGGAUGAGGAGAGAUCGUCUGCCGAAAAUUUGAAGGAGGUCAAAACCAGCCUCGUUACCGAAGUUACAGAAGAAGAGGAGAAUCGAGUUCAAUUAUCCAGUCAGAGUUUUCAUCCUUCCAAAAAUCCUCUUAUACCCAGAUCCGAUUAUAGCGCUUUCGGAAAACAUUUUGAAUAUUAUCCUCCUGCACCUUUUGGAUACGUUGUACCUUAUCAUCGGAAUGGAGCUUUGGGUGCUUUAUCAAUGGU